GGAAUAUGUUGAGCAAACCUGGAGAAGCGUCAGUUCAAGAGAUUAUUGUCAUUGCUGUGGAUCUUUACCUGAUACACUGACUUGGCUCGGGACCAGCACUCCUGUUGUUGGACAGAAAGACAUCAACUCAGCGGACACCAGGAGAGAUGAGUCCUCCAUCACAGAUGGUGUGGUCAGUGAAGAUGGUCGCCUGCAGGUUCAAGCUCAUUGCAUCUCCAACCCACAUCCACUGCCACUGUACUUCAGGGAAGUUAAAGACUUUCUUCUGCACUUACAUUUGGAUCACCUCGAUCCAUGAUAGUCAUUCAGGCAGUAAUGCCUGGACUGGAAACAAGCCAUCCUUAAAACAUUACAACAUUCCAGCUCAUGUGUUGGAAUGAAAAACAAAUGUGUUGUUUAAAUCAGAGACUGCACUUGUGACAGAACAACAAAUAUUUUAUUUUGAUUAUAUAAAUAAUGUAAGUACGAAACAAACUUGUGGUAGACCUAAACUUAUUUUCAGAAUAAUUACAUCUGAGACUUUGUUUCAUUGUGAGAUUAUAACAGUGAUGGCAAUAUAAUUGUUUGUUGUUCAGCAGAACAGUGUCCAGUAUGUUGGCUGUUAUACUUUGUUGUGUUUGAAAAUAAAAGUUGGGCUGAUUUUAA